rnacentral:sRNA from 1 species
GGAAGGAUCAUUGAAUCUAUCAUAUACACACACCGUGCAUCAUCAUGUUGGCCUGCCUAGAAAAAAUGUUAAUCAUUUUUCUAUGCAUGAAAGUCAUUUUCAGCUGUCGUAUACACACAAACACGUGUUGUGUUGUUUACGGCAUCGGCCUUUUAUCAACCAACCAACACCAAAAUAAAAAUCUAAAUUAAAUCGGGUGUACAGCUUAGAGCUGUCACUCACCAACCAAGACAACUCUCAACAACGGAUAUCUUGGCUCUCAGAUCGAUGAAGAACGCAGCGAAAUGCGAUACGUAGUGUGAAUUGCAGAAAUACGUGAAUCAUCGAAUCUUUGAACGCAAAUUGCGCUUGAGGCUUCGGCCAAAAGCAUGUCUGCCUCAGCGUCGGGUUAAUACUCGCCUAUUCAUGCCCCUGUGUAUGUAUGUGGCGGAACUGACUGUCUCGGCACCGUGUGCUUUUACAGCAUUAUGAUGCCGGGUCAGUUGAAGUAUGCAGCUGUUUUGGCGCACGUGGACCUGCUUUACGGCGGGUGUGUGCCUCCACUGGGUAGGCAAAUCCUAUUUGCUACAUGCUUUAGUGGAUGGCUCAAUGCGUGGUGGCAAAACACAAAGCAGGAAAUUACUCCUAUUUUAUUUUCUCGACCUGAGCUCAGGCAAGAUU